rnacentral:rRNA from 1 species
AGUGAACGCUGGCGGUAGGCCUAACACAUGCAAGUCGAACGGCAGCACAGGAGAGCUUGCUCUCUGGGUGGCGAGUGGCGGACGGGUGAGGAAUACAUCGGAAUCUACUCUGUCGUGGGGGAUAACGUAGGGAAACUUACGCUAAUACCGCAUACGACCUACGGGUGAAAGCAGGGGACCUUCGGGCCUUGCGCGAUUGAAUGAGCCGAUGUCGGAUUAGCUAGUUGGCGGGGGAAAGGCCCACCAAGGCGACGAUCCGUAGCUGGUCUGAGAGGAUGAGCAGCCACACUGGAACUGAGACACGGUCCAGACUCCGACGGGAGGCAGCAGUGGGGAAUAUUGGACAAUGGGCGCAAGCCUGAUCCAGCCAUACCGCGUGGGUGAAGAAGGCCUUCGGGUUGUAAAGCCCUUUUGUUGGGAAAGAAAUCCAGCUGGCUAAUACCCGGUUGGGAUGACGGUACCCAAAGAAUAAGCACCGGCUAACUUCGUGCCAGCCGCCGCGGUAA